AACAAGAAAGAAGCUGGUGAUGAUGUUAACCUCUCCUACACUCCUCUUCCAGUAAACUAGAGCAGCCAGUCAGAAAAAUAAGAGGAGUCCAAUCAACAAGAAAAGAAACAGCAGACUUUGUGAUUCCAUUCAUUUAAAAAAAGAGAGGACGCUAAAAGACAUGAGGACACCUUGGUUCAAAGACAAGACGAGACCAGAGUCUUUGGACCAGGACAUCAUACUCAGUGACUCUCUUUAAAUACAAAGAUAAGUAUAGAUUUAUUCAGUUCUUCAUCAGUGUUUCAAAAUGUUAAAUUUAGGUGUGAAACAUUAUUUUUACAGGACAAGUUAAAAUGGUAUUCUAUAAACAUUAUUCAAAAUUGAUGAUCUGUUUUAUUAGAUUUGAUGUAAUUUCAUCACCAAUCAACAGUUGUAACAUUUAAACUGUAUGGAAUAAGUUGUUGACUUUUAUCCUGCCUUGUCUGUUUGUCUCCAUUGUGUCCAUUAUAUCCAGUAAAGACCAGCAGCCUUAGACGUCCCCCUGAUCUGCUGCACCAGCAUUCAUUCAAAGACAAGCCGUCUUAGAUGUCCCCCUGAACUGCUGCACCAGCAUUCAUUGUAAACCACAUUUAAAAAAAGAUGAGUAUAUACUUUUACAUCUGAUUCUGUCUGAAAACAUAUUUGAAGAGUUCAUUUGCAAAAACAGUUAACUCACUUUUGAAAAAGUAAAAAAAUAUUUCAAAAAACAUAUUUUUUCUAAUACUAGCUUUUGGUUUGAUCAAUCAACUGAGGUUGGGUGGCUUUGACUAAGUCAAAAUGACUUCACUAAUCAAGAAAUAGGUUUUUUGAAAAGUUAUAAAAAUGGAGUUAUCUGUUUUUGCAAAUUAACUCUUCAUUUGUAUUUAGAGGUAAAAAUGUAAAAGUGAUACACACUGCACCUUUUUUCUGAACGUAUUGUUGUUCACACACAUCUGUCUCAUAUGUCUUAGAAAAGCAAGGAAGCUCAGGAAGCUGAGUCCAUGACAGAGGGAAAGCAGACUGGAGAGCUUUUUAAACCAUUGACUAAGUUGUUAACUGAUGUUCUGCCUUGUCCGUUUGUAUUCAUUUUCAGCAAAGACAAGCCGUCUUAGAUGUCCCCCUGAACUGCUGCACAAGCAUUCAAUGUAAACCCACAUUUAAAAAAAGAACGUGGAAGAGAAGUCCAGAGACAGAAGGACAGGAGACAGCAUGCAGUUCCCCCCACCCCCCAAUCUGCACCAGAUCAUGCAUUAUGCUUCUGCUUUUGCAGUCAUAUGAAAUAAAUGGUUACACACUGUUCAUUUAAA